CAACAGAAGCAUGUUGAAAAGCUAUCAUUGGAGUGGAGGGGAAGUAUUAUCGACAAUAAUUCACAAACUGUAAGAUACAUACUUAAUUAGCUUCACCCACACAAAAAUAUAAAAGAACUCUAAAUCACCGGAUAUAUAGGGACAAAAUUUCCAAAUUGGCUAGCUAAUCAUUCGUUUCCUAAGCUGCUAGUACAAUUAUCUCUUAGCAACUGCAAGGAGUGUCAUUCCUUGCCAGCACUAGGACAACUUCCUUCUUAGAAAUUACUUUUCAUUAGAGGGAUGUAUCCAUUAACAGAGUUGAAAGAAUUCUAUGGUAGCUCAUCCUUUAAAAAUCUUUUUAACUCUCUUGAGAAUCUUGAAUUUGCAGAAAUUUCAAAGUGGAAGCAAUGGCACGUACUAGGGAAUGGAGAGUUCCCUACACUUUAGUACCUUCCGAUUGAAAAUAGUCCAAAAUUGAUGGGGAAAUUGCCUGAAAAUCUUUGUUCUCUUUCAGCAUUGAGAAUUCAAGUUGUCUUGAACUCAAUUUGGAGACGCCUAUCCAACUUUCAAGUCUAAAAAGGAGUUGUUCAAUCUGUUCUUCAAUGACUUAAAGUCCAUCAAUUCGUGGAGUCAGAGGAAGAGCAUGAAUGGUCAGGAACUAUGCAAUCAAAAAUGUUGAUAAAUGAUUUUCAAACUCAGUUCUUUUUCACAAUGCAACCGUAUACCUUAUUUUACUUGAGAUGAAACAUGCCUUGCUGCACAUGGAACAUACAACUCUAAUGGAUCCCAAAGGAAAAUGAGGAAAAACUAAUUGUUCAAUGUAACAUAUAAAUCAUAUUGCACAUUAUGGUUAGAUUGUAAGGAAAAACCAUUACUUUUUCAUUGUCACGAUUUUGGAAAAGCCCAAUGAUUAUUUGGAAAGGGAAAAGUUUCAGACAUCUCUUAAUUAAGUCAAGUUUAUGGGAAAGUGGUUUAAUUUUUAUGUGGUAUUUUGUUCGUAUGUUGGACUGAACAUUAGGACUAUAGACGUAAUAGCUUGUAUUAUUGGUUUUGGCAUUAGGCUCACACGGGGUUGUAAGGUAUCAUUUGGUAUCAAAGCUAAGGCUUCUUGUGUUCCUACACUACCAAUCUUGGGCUCUCUUAGUACAAAAAAAAGAGUGAAGUGUUCUUGUUCUAGGCCGGGUAUUCUUCUUGUUGUUGUUAUGUUUGGCCGAGAUUUGUGUCUAGAUUUGAGCGUGUUUAGUAGUCUUAGUUUGUUUCUAGUGUUGGUUCUCUUUCUCCUCAACAAUUAUUGAGUCUACAACCCAAGCUCUUGAGCAAGAUUUGAGUUGUGUUGUGGUGUUAAGUGGACGGUUUCUUGUUGUUGUUAUUGGUGUUUAUCUUGUGUUGUGUUGAAGAAGUUGUUUGAUCUUGAAGAGAGAAAAGAAGUAUAGGACUUUGUGUUUGUCUUGAAAACAAUCCAAGACAACACCAAAGUAGAAAAAGAAAAAAAACCCUCCAAAAAGCAAGUUACCAAAAAGGAGUAAGGCACUUUUCAAACUUAGACAAAAGAGGAAAAAGACAAGACUACCCCAAAAAGUUGUCUUGCCAAAAGAGUGCAAGUUGGUGGAAAGCUUUUGAAUCUUGAAAAGAGAGUCUCAAGGCUUGUAAGCCUAUACCAUGUUAGAAAUAUCUUCCUCAAAGGUGUAUUAUUGAACAUCAAAGUCCUGGAGCAAAUUCUCUUAAACAACAAAGUGUGGUUUUGGCAUUAGGCUCACACGGAUUUGAACACAAGACGGCUUCUUCGUAUACCAGCUUUUGCCAAUGUGGUAUUUGCCUAUGAUGAUACAAUAAAGUUGUUUUUACUCAGGAUACAUCUUUGUCCAACAGAAAUUAAAAAAUGACAUGAUUAUUGGACUUCCUGUGUUUAGUUAUCUUAAUUCCUUGAGGUGUAAUGGUUAGAGUAAACUAUAAAUGCUAUGUAAAAUGUAUAAGAAACAAUGAGACUUCAAGGAUAAAAAUUUGUUUGCUUAGUUUCUUGAUGUAGUUAUUACUAAUUAAAUGAUUUAUAUCUAGUUAAGUUCAUACUGCGUAAAAUUUCUUCACUCUA